AUUGAACGCUGGCGGCAGGCCUAACACAUGCAAGUCGAACGAGUGGCGGACGGGUGAGUAAUGUCUGGGAAACUGCCCGAUGGCGGGGGAUAACAACUGGAAACGGUAGCUAAUACCGCAUACCAUCGGAUGUGCCCCGAUGGGAUUAGCUCGUAGGUGGGGUAACGGCUCACCUAGGCGACGAUCCCUAGCUGGUCUGAGAGGAUGACCACCGAAACUGUAACUGAGACACGGUCCAGACUCCUACGAGUGGCAGCAGUGGGGAAUAUUGCACAAUGGGCGCAAGCCUGAUGCAGCCAUGCCGCGUGUAUGAAGAAGGCCGUCGGGUUGUAAAGUACUUUCAGCGAGGAGGCGUUACUCGCAGAAGAAGCACCGGCUAACUCCGUGCCAGCAGCCGCGGUAAUUC
rnacentral:rRNA from 1 species